GCUUGAAGAAAGAGCUGCAGUGGUAACGGCGAGAGGAAUCGUAGCGGGUGGUGGAGCCAGGAGAAGCGGGGCACUGCUGCCACGGGAGAGCAAAGGCUGCGUCCUCUGCCAAGUGACAGGAGCGGUGGUGCUGCCCGGGGAGCACCGAAAUAACGUCAUUCUGGGGCCCAGGUCGAGUCUGUGCCACAAAAUAUACCAGAGCCAAGGUAGAAAAUAGAGGAUUGACUAACAGGGGAGCGGGCGCCGAGUUUCCCUUGGCUCAAAACCCCCUGCAAGGCAGUGCAGCCACCCAAAGAGCUCGUUUCUCUGCGCGCUCUUUCUGACAGCCCCGUCACGUAAAAUUAGAACCAAGGAAGUUUCGGGAACAAAUUCUCAGCCGUGCUUCAGUUGCAAGAAGAAGAAAUUAAUACCAUGGGGAAAAUUUCCUCCCGGGCUGAAACUCAUCUUGAUGAACGAAGAGAGAAAUGCCCUGCCAAGCCAGAGGUAUAAGGGAGGGGGGAAACUUGGGGGACACCAAGUUUUUUGCCUCCAAAAAUCGUGCCCCGGGCUUUACACAGCCUGUGUAACGUCGCUGUAUAAAUUCAUGAGCCUCCCCCUCUGGGGAGCCGUGCUUCAGUGCCAGAAGAUAGUGCAGAAUUACAGCAAUCUGAAAACAAUCAAGGGCUUGGGAAAAUGCUGAUGAGAGGGAC